GCCAUAGCUCAGUGGCAGAGCAGCUGCCUUGCAUGUAGAAGGUCCCAGGUUCAAUCCCUGGAAUGUCCA